UUAGGGCAAGUCUGGUGCCAGCAGCCGCGGUAAUUCCAGCUCCAAUAGCGUAUAUUAAAGUUGUUGCAGUUAAAAAGCUCGUAGUUGAAUUUCGGGAUCAGUAGGUUGGUCGUGCCACUGGUACGUACUGGUCUCACUGAUUCCUCCUUCCUGAUGAGCUGUAAUGCCAUUAAUUUGGUGUUGCAGGGAAUCUGGACUGUUACUUUGAAAAAAUUAGAGUGUUUAAAGCAGGCUAACGCUUGAAUACAUUAGCAUGGAAUAAUGAAAUAGGACGUUCGAUCCUAUUUUGUUGGUUUCUAGGAUUGAUGUAAUGAUUAAUAGGGAUAGUUGGGGGCAUUAGUAUUCAAUUGUCAGAGGUGAAAUUCUUGGAUUUAUUGAAGACUAACUACUGCGAAAGCAUUUGCCAAGGAUGUUUUUAUUAAUCAAGAACGAAAGUUAGGGGAUCGAAGACGAUCAGAUACCGUCGUAGUCUUAACCAUAAAUUAUGCCGGCUAGGGAUCGGAUGAUGUUAAUUUUUUAAUGACUCAUUCGGCGCCUUACGGGAAAC
rnacentral:rRNA from 1 species